rnacentral:rRNA from 1 species
UGGGCGAGAGACCGAUAGCAAACAAGUACCGCGAGGGAAAGAUGAAAAGGACUUUGAAAAGAGAGUCAAAGAGUGCUUGAAAUUGUCRGGAGGGAAGCGAAUGGGGGCCGGCGAUGCGGCCYGRUCRGAUGUGGAACGGUGAGAGSCGGUCCGCCAAUYGACUCGGGKCAUGGAUCKGUGCGGAUUGGGACGGAGGCCAAAGCCCAGGAAGUCSUUAAGCCUGCGGAGACGCCUUSGCCCCGAUCGUGGCUGGCAGYGCGCGCCCUGCGGGCGUGCUACGGYAWYUGCGCGCUCCUGG